rnacentral:tRNA from 1 species
GACCACCGGUUGGGUGAGUUGGGACCUUGGUCUUAACUACCAAUGGAAUGCACAACUGAGUGCCAGUUUCAACGUGGUUA